UCUGUGGAGGAGGGCAGGGGGCUGCGGGAGGAGGAAAAGAAAGAGGCUCCCAAGCCAUAUUACCUCUCGGCCUGGGCCUUCCCAACACCCUCCAGGGGCUGCUGUCCCCAGAGCCUGCUCAUGUUGCCCUCACAGCCACUUACCUGCCAAUGUCUUGCCACUAGAAACCACUGCCUUCUACCUAAGCUCUGGUCCAGAGGUCAGCAGCAUCUAGAUCCUGAAGUGCAGAAUCGCAGGCCCCACCGGACCUCCUAGAUCCAAAUCUUCAUUGGCAGAGAUGCCCCAGGGCGGGCAGGUGGAUCAGGGGAUCCUGGAGCUGCAUGCAGAGAGGGCAAACACAGACCUUGGACUCCUCUGAUCUUGGACUGUGAAGCUAUGAAGCUAACAUUUAUUCAGCCGCCCUCUUGGGCCAGGAUGAUCCCUUUAAUCCAAGCAGCACCCCUGGGUAAUAGAAACCUAUCAGCAUCCCUGUGUUGGCUAAUUAGGAUAUGUAAAUAGAGUCAGGAUUCAAAGCUGAGUUGAUUUGAUUCCAAAGCCCUCGGUCUUCCUUCCCUGUUGCUGGCACUCAGAAGAUGGACAAAUGAGGUCAGGGUGAGCUUUUGGAUGUAUAACUGAGAGAGUAAGAUAUCCACCAGCGACAUGGUUGAAAGACAAAGAAAGUAACCCCAUUAGUAAAUAAUAAGAACAUGCAUUUCUUCAUGGAACCUCUUCACAACUACCUGUCACAUUUGGGUACCACCUUGCAAUGUCCAAAAGCUAUCCCUGUGCACCGCCUCACUGAUUGCCCCAGCAAAACCAUGGCAGAGACACAGCAGGGAGAAUGUGCAUCCCCACUUGACAAAGAAUGUGAGAUGUGGAGAGGCUAAAUGACUUGCCCAUGGCCCCUUGCAAGGCUCUCUCUUGCCCAGGGAGAGAGUUUGUUUACCUACCAACCUUAUUCCCUCAAGGAUUUAAAAAUACAUCAUAAAAAUAGAAAAAUUGCUAUGAAUAUAAUGUUAAUCAAGAUAAGGGGAAAUAAAAUUGGAAUAUCUUCCCUUCAGUUCCUGGUA